GUAAUGGGCCGCAGCAGCCCGGAUUAAAGGCGCGUCCUUCCUAACGACAGGCAGAAAACAAGGUGCAAAAGGGGAUGGACGGGCAGGUAGAGGUCACCUUCUUUGGACAAACGUUCCUCUUACAACGAACCGUGGCCACCAGCAUCCUCUCGCUUUUUCCCCCUUCGAUGUAGAACGGUUUGAUGAGGAGGGGGAG
ensembl:ncRNA C25F6.14 ncRNA